UACGGGGGGGGCAAGCGUUGUUCGGAAUUACUGGGCGUAAAGGGCUCGUAGGCGGCCAACUAAGUCGGAUGUGAAAUCCCCAGGCUCAACUUGGGAACUGCAUCCGAUACUGGAUGGCUUGAAUUCGGGAGAGGGAUGCAGAAUUCCAGGUGUAGCGGUGAAAUGCGUAGAUAUCUGGAGGAAUACCGGUGGCGAAGGCGGCAUCCUGGACCGACAUUGACGCUGAGGAGCGAAAGCUAGGGGAGCAAACGGGAUUAGAUACCCCGGUAGUCCUAGCCCUAAACGAUGAAUGCUUGGUGUGACGGGUAUCGAUCCCUGUCGUGCCGAAGCUAACGCAUUAAGCAUUCCGCCUGGGGAGUACGGUCGCAAGGCUGAA
rnacentral:rRNA from 1 species